AUUGAACGCUGGCGGCAUGCCUUACACAUGCAAGUCGAACGGCAGCACGGGAGCAAUCCUGGUGGCGAGUGGCGAACGGGUGAGUAAUACAUCGGAACGUGCCCAAUCGUGGGGGAUAACGCAGCGAAAGCUGUGCUAACACCGCAUACGAUCUACGGAUGAAAGCAGGGGAUCGCAAGACCUUGCGCGAAUGGAGCGGCCGAUGGCAGAUUAGGUAGUUGGUGAGGUAAAGGCUCACCAAGCCGUCGAUCUGUAGCUGGUCUGAGAGGACGACCAGCCACACUGGGACUGAGACACGGCCCAGACUCCUACGGGAGGCAGCAGUGGGGAAUUUUGGACAAUGGGCGAAAGCCUGAUCCAGCCAUGCCGCGUGCAGGAUGAAGGCCUUCGGGUUGUAAACUGCUUUUGUACGGAACGAAACGGCCUUUUCUAAUAAAGAGGGCUAAUGACGGUACCGUAAGAAUAAGCACCGGCUAACUACGUGCCAGCAGCCGCGGUAAUACGUAGGGUGCAAGCGUUAAUCGGAAUUACUGGGCGUAAAGCGUGCGCAGGCGGUUAUGUAAGACAGUUGUGAAAUCCCCGGGCUCAACCUGGGAACUGCAUCUGUGACUGCAUAGCUAGAGUACGGUAGAGGGGGAUGGAAUUCCGCGUGUAGCAGUGGAAUGCGUAGAUAUGCGGAGGAACACCGAUGGCGAAGGCAAUCCCCUGGACCUGUACUGACGCUCAUGCACGAAAGCGUGGGGAGCAAACAGG
rnacentral:rRNA from 1 species